GCGAAGGUAACCUCAGCGCGGUCGGAAAUCGCGCAGUGAGUGCAUAGGCAUAAGGUUGCUUGACUGCAAGACAAACAAGUCGAGCAGGUACGAAAGUAGGUCUAAGUGAUCCGGUGGUUCUGUAUGGAAGGGCCAUCGCUCAACGGAUAAAAGGUACUCUGGGGAUAACAGGCUGAUACCGCCCAAGAGUUCACAUCGACGGCGGUGUUUGGCACCUCGAUGUCGGCUCAUCACAUCCUGGGGCUGAAGCCGGUCCCAAGGGUAUGGCUGUUCGCCAUUUAAAGUGGUACGCGAGCUGGGUUUAGAACGUCGUGAGACAGUUCGGUCCCUAUCUACCGUGGGCGUUGGAAAUUUGAGAGGAUCUGCUCCUAGUACGAGAGGACCAGAGUGGACGAACCUCUGGUGUACCGGUUGUGACGCCAGUCGCAUCGCCGGGUAGCUAUGUUCGGAAGGGAUAACCGCUGAAAGCAUCUAAG
rnacentral:rRNA from 1 species